GCGAAAAGGAAGAAAGGAAGAGAGGAGGAGGAGGAGAAGAAGGGAAAGCGCCAGCGUUACCAGAUUUUGCAUCUUUUUUUCUUUCUGCGUUUUUUUUUCCUGCUUU
rnacentral:ribozyme from 1 species